rnacentral:rRNA from 1 species
CAGCAGCAGCCGCGGUAAAACGUAGGUGGCAAGCGUUGUCCGGAAUUAUUGGGCGUAAAGGGCUCGCAGGCGGUUUCUUAAGUCUGAUGUGAAAGCCCCCGGCUCAACCGGGGAGGGUCAUUGGAAACUGGGAAACUUGAGUGCAGAAGAGGAGAGUGGAAUUCCACGUGUAGCGGUGAAAUGCGUAGAGAUGUGGAGGAACACCAGUGGCGAAGGCGACUCUCUGGUCUGUAACUGACGCUGAGGAGCGAAAGCGUGGGGAGCGAACAGGAUUAGAGACCCCUGUAGUCCCUGUCUCUUAUAC